CAUAUGACCGCGUCCUCACGCUGACCUCCACCCUCUUGUUAUUUUGCCAGCUCCAAAGCAGGUGCUUAUGCAAAGGUUUGGAAGUCCAGUGCACAAUUCCUCGCAAAUGUUGAAAACGACACAUCACGUCACACUUGUGACUGAGGAAGCAGGAAAGGGGACACAGGACAGGCGGGAAUGUUGAGAUGGGAGCAUUUAAGAACUGCUGGAGUUCAGAGGUGCUUGGAGAACUCCUUUCCUCUGAAUGUUUAAACUUGGAUUCUGAGUUUACUUUACAAACAAUGGAUCCCAGGCUCACAAGCAUCCUGGCCGAAAAUGCUGACGAGUCAGAAGAAAGCACCCAGCUGGGGUAUUUCCAAGUAAAGUCCUUGAUGUCAGGCCUGAGUGGGGAGUUCCUCCCACCCCGGGGGAUGCUUCCGGCACUGGAGGAGGUGAAACUUCCAUGGUGGGGCUGUGGGGCUGCCCUGAGCGGGGAGAUUCAGCUGGCUUCCUCCCAGGGGCGGGGAGCAGACAUGCUGUUAAAACACGCUCAGGUUGAUGGGGAACUUCUGCUUGAACAAGGUCGAGGUGAUUAUGGGGUCACUCUUGCUGCGACAGACAUUUACACAGGUGCCAGACGGCCAGCCCCUCUCGGCUCUGUUGUCGAGCUCCCAGCCCGCGUUUCCUGGCCACGUCAACAGAUGGUUCUCUGAAGCUGGCUGGAGAAGAAAGACCUCUUGGUAAUGAGCUCAGCUCUCUCUCUCUUUCUCUUGGGGAAUUUGCAUUCCUUGGCAUGAAAGGUGGAAGCACUCGUCCUGCCCUUCUGAACAGCCGAGAGGGGGAACGUGCUGGUUCCCUCUCCUUACCAUUGGUACCCACAUGUGAUCGUGUGCACACCUGUCUGUCUACAGGCAGAGGGUCUGAAAUAUUGGUGCUAGCACGUUCCGAUGGAUACACCUCCUAUUUCUGCAGGGUGAUGUUGGGGCAGGGGUGGUCCUCCGCGCACAGAAACCAGUCUCUCUGCCAGUGUAGGACUACACAUUCUGAACACCGAUUUCUAAGGCUUGAGUUGUCAGAAAGUGUGGAAAGUUGGUACCUGUGCCAGGUGGUGGGUAGAUCCGAGGCCAGAUCCUCUCUGUGAACAACGGGGCCUUGGCCCUAAGAUCAGUGAUUUAUCAGGGAGUUGGGGACCAUGGGCAGUGUCUGUGGGAAAGAGUUUUCUCGAGUGCCUGUGCUAGUUUGGGGUUCCAUGCUCAGAUAGGCUGUCCUCAUUUAAGUUUCCCCUUUGUAAAUAACCAUUGCUGAAAACCUGGCUUUGUGGCUAUGGCAUAAACCUUUUGAGUGCCAUUUAAGAUAUACAUCAACUUCGACCUUGGCCUUAACUUUUUGCCACAUACAACUGAGCUAAAUUUCUUAUCCUCCACUGAUUUAAAAAGUAUGGCAAAAGCCAAUGCCUUUUAGGGACCACACAGCGCUUGUCUCCCUGUCACCAUCACCAGGAGAACUCAGCUCUCAUUUCAGAUCCCUUUCUUCAUCCUUAAUUAUUUCCUCUUCAUUUUGAUUUCAAACAUUCUUCACCAUCAGUUGAUAAUUGAUAAUGAAUCUGAUGGAACAUAAUGGAUCCACAUAAAGGAUGAGGCUAUUUAAUGUUUUCCAGAUGCAGGCAGCUGUCAG
rnacentral:lncRNA from 1 species